rnacentral:lncRNA from 1 species
CUGGGCUGGCUCAAGCCCUCUUUCCUUUAAUUAUUAAAAGGAGCCCUUUUCCCCUUCCUCCGCUGGCUCCCGGCUUGUCCAGGGGCCAAGCACUUGUGCACCCUGCCAUUGUCCUCUUGGGGCCACUGUGUGCCAGGUGACCCCAGAUCCUGGCUUUCUGUCGCUGUCACGGCAGCCUCUGUCCCAGCAAGGCUGCCAAGGAGAGAUUUAUUCUUACAGAUAUGAAUUACUGUCUCCCACCCGUUCACAUGCAGAGGGGACCAUUUAAAAUUAUCAUUUCCCCUUUCCUUCUCCCUCUGUAAGAGCCACAGGCCAUUUCCAUCAUCUCCCCCAGCCCACAGUGGGUAGGAAGGGGGCACCCGGGCUUUGGGGCCAGCAGCCAGCCCUCCAGGCUUCAGCCACUGCACAGCAAUUGAUCUUUGGGAGGCAGAGCUGGGGAGAGUUUAUGGAGAAAAAUACAGGCCACCAAUCAUGCUAUUUAUAAUCCCGGCGCUUCCAGAAGGUUUCAGGACAAUGCGUCUGGCAGACCAUCCUCCCUGGGGAAGUCCUUGCUCCAGAAGCUCGCUUGUCAUUGCAUUUUGGCAUCCAAGGAUUUGGACAGCACCUCCAAGACCGAGACCUUGGCAGCAGCAUGGAGGAGAAGAGCUCUUCCCUGGUGUCCACUGGGGACAAGCAGUGCUAUGGAUCAAACCCAGGACCUCAGCCAUGCUAAGAAAGUGCAGAACCACUGAGCUACAACCCUAGCAAGAAAGGAUGCUUCUGAAAGACAUUGGAAGUUGUCUUCAUUGGCAGUUGCUUCAGUGGCCAGCAAAGUAUUUGACAGAGCAAACACCUUGAAACUCUGAAGCACAGACUACCUAAUCUGUUUUUUAAAAUUUAGUUUAUAGGGGCUGGGGAUUUAGCUCAGUGGUUUUGCCGACUGCCCUGAAAGUGC